GAGUGGGGAGCUAGGAGCUGCUCCUGAGUGAGCCUGAGGCCGGUUGCUGUGGGUCUCCUGCGAACCUAGAGGCCUCCGUGCAGGAACGCAGGUACCUGGAUGCGUGGUGGCGAAAAGAACUCACGAGGAGGCCGAGACCAGGCUGUGUGCUGACGGUGUUGACGAACUCAGGCUUGGUCAGUGCCUGGCUUCAGCGAUGUCAACGUGUACUCAGAGGAGAAAUUGCUGAGCUGCAGUUCUUUGUUUCCAGCACAUUGAAACAGUCUCUGACACCACCCUGGAGAGAGCAGAAGCCACGCUGUAGUGACCGGCCCUCUCGGACCACAGGGGUGGACAUAGCGGUGGCUGUGGCAGCCUCAGGUGGCCACCUCCCCCCAUUCACCCCACGUGCGCCCCAUGGCCUCUCUCUGGCACUAUUAACAGCACUGACCCCACGAGUGGGGAGGGUCCCUGCGAGUACAAAAGCCCCUCCCCACCGUUCAGCAUGGACAGCCAGUCCAGUACAGCCCCAUUGUUUUUCUCUUGCCGCUGCCAUGUAAGAAGAGCCUUUCACCUCCUGCCAUGAUUAUGAGAAUUCCCCGGCCAUGUGGAACUGUUAAGUCCAAUUUAACAUCUUUUUCUUCCUAGUCCCAGGGUAACUCAAUGCUCUUUAUCAAGAGCAAUCUGUGAAUUUUGAAGAAAGAACAGACAUCAGAAAAAGGAAAUCUCCAUCUAAAGAUAAAUUCACCUAGAAAUUGCCUAGAACAUGAUGAAAACUCAUGCUUUGCUCGCUGGCUAUAAGCAUUUCUCUUGGGGUUGUUCUCAUUCAUGGCUGGAUCACACCAGCAAGAAGGGCUUUAAAGGACAACUCCUUCGGGCCGUCCUACACUGAAACCGCCUGAGCGCUGCUGUCUUUGUGCUUGCAGAAAAUCACGGUACUGAACAUGCCAACCUCAUGGGUUAGUUGAGAGAAGUGUGUGGGUAUUCCCGGUCAAACACUCAGCCUAGGGCCAGCCGCUACCAGCACUCCACUCCGAUGACUGCAGGGAAGUGGUUCAUAUCCAUAAAACCAA